AUUGAACGCUGGCGGCAGGCCUAACACAUGCAAGUCGAACGAGUGGCGGACGGGUGAGUAAUGUCUGGGAAACUGCCUGAUGGAGGGGGAUACCUACUGGAAACGUUAGCUAAUACCGCAUACCAUCAGUUGUGCCCAGAGCGGAUUAGCGUGUUGGUGGGGUAAGGGCUCACCAGGGCGACGAUCCCUAGCUGGGUCGAGAGGAUGACGGGCCAAAAUGGAACUGAGACACGGUCAAGACCCCUAAGGGAGGCAGCAGUGGGGAAUAUGGCACAAGGGGCGAAAGCCGGAUGAAGCCAUGCCGCGUGUAUGAAGAAGGCCUUCGGGUUGUAAAGUACUUUGAUCGGGGAGGCGUUACCCGAAGAGGAAGCAACGGCUAACUCCGUGCCAGCAGCCGCGGUAAUAC
rnacentral:rRNA from 1 species